AGUUGCCAAGCAAGAUAUGCUCAUUUACUGAGGAUGUUGAAUCUUGUCAUAGGAUACGGUGUGAGUAAGAUGUGCUGUAUAAGGGAACAGAAUUUUUUCUGUAAGGACUGAUGAGAACUGUCCAGAAUAAGAGGGACUUUUGGCAUGGCACAGAUAAUAUGCAGCAAUAAGGAGAGAAAGAAAUUAGUUGAGUAGUAUGCACUCAGUUCCUGGGGAACACAUGAGGGACUCUACUCAUCACCUGAGUUAAACCUUACUGGAGGUUUGAAAGAGUCUGUUUUGCACACUGUUGGAAAUGAUCAUUCACUGAUAUUUCAAAGAGUGACAGAAGAAGAUAGAAAUUACAUCAAUAGACAUACAACAGGUGUGGAAAUUUAACAAAAUAUGUGAUCCAAAAACUAAGAUGAAUGAAUCAUGGAAGUGGACUGCCUUUAUCAUUUACUGUUUGAAGACAAGUUUGCAGGUUUUAUAUUACCCUAAUACGUCGUCAACCUGGCCUAAAAGUAAAUUACUAGAGAAGAAGAAUUCGUGCAACACCUUUCCUGCUACCCAUCAAGAAUAAGUGAGUAGUGGAAAUGUACAUGUGAUUUGUUCUUUCUCUUCUCGCUUCCUUCACUUUCUGAAAGCCAACAGAUCCUUCAGCAAGCUCCAGUGCUCUAUCCAGGUCCUCUUUACACUGUGGCAAGCCACGGAAAGUUCAAAGCUUGCAUAUCAAAUGACAGUAAUUUAAUACAUAAUGCUGAAAAGUACAGUAUUUCUUUUCAUUUUUUAAAUAUUCUUUGUUUCCUAGGUUCACUUCCCUGCUGUUUCCAUCUGGAACAUCAGCCGAACCAUAAGAAUGUCACUUAUGUUUUAUUAUCUAGAUUGUGUUGUCUGGUUUCAAUUGACAUGUAUUCUGUGAGGAUAUUCACACACACUUAGAUUAGAGACUUCAUGUUCUUUUCAGUUACAGAAGUAACAGAGGCCACAUUUAAAAUCAAGAGAGAAAUUUGGCAAAGGAAAAUAGGGAACACAUCCUGUGUUUCUACCCUUUCACUUGGUUUCUUCUGCUUUAUCUACACCCCUGUCCAGACAUCAUCUUUAUGUUAAAUGAUGAAUUGAACACGUGAAAGUCAAAGAGCUUUGUCUAUUUGUUUGUUUGUCUGUCUGAACACAAGCAUCCCAAAGUUUUCAAAUCAUUCCACCCUUCUGAACCUAUUCAGUCUGGCUAUCACUUGAACUCUCUUUCCUGAAAGGAGCUUUGUAUGUAUUUCUUGAAGUCUCUCUGGAAAUACAGAGAGGAAAAUGCCCCUCUCAGUUUGGAUUCACUCAGUGCUGAGCAGUGUGGUUGUCAUCCAGUAAAGCAUUUAAGGUCAGUUUAUAUUUAAGCGUAACCUUGUUGAAGUUAGUGGUGUGAUGCAUGUACUUAAAUUUAAGCUCACAGAAGAGUACUUUACUGGAUCACAGCCAGAGUACUCAGCGACUUACAGGACUAAACUCCUUCUCUUCUUUGACACCGGCCUAAGGCAAGGUACACAGAAAUUCGUGAAUAUACAUCCUUUAUAGUAUAGAGGCUAAAUACAGUAUUAUUCUGAGGAUUACUUCAUAUUCCAUUCAGUAAAAGACAUUAUCCAGUUUCUUAAAACGCUUGACAGUUGUGCUGAUAGCGAGGACAUUACAAUUCCAAAAGAGUCUAACUUAGCCUGUCAUUCUCUUUUGAACAUGCUGAAUUUUAUGACUCAGGAGAUUCAGGUCAAGUUGGUGUUCUGAAUGAAGAUAAUUUGUUAACACACUUUUAAAUCCCUGCAACGUUCUGCUGACAAAGGCUAAUUUAAUACGCAAUGGAUUCAACACAUCUCCACUGCUGGUGUACCUUUUAAAUGAAAGUGUAUUUCACAGUUUAGACUAACUUGAGCCAUUUAAUUAAAUGUCAAGUGCUUCAGACAGACAAAGUUAAAUAUUUCGGUAGCUAUGCAAGUUUUUUUUUUAAAGUUGGUUUGGAUAGUGAGCCUUACUGUUCCUCUUGAAAUAUGAAUAUGUCUUGAAAAUUUCUGUUUCAGAAAAUGCAUAAUCAAUUAUAGUCAAUAGUUGACUUCUGCUGAGUGUGUUAUUGACUUGGCAAGAUACUUAGUAUGUGGAAUAGUCACUGCUGUAAGACUUAUGAAAUUAAUUCAGUUAGAUGACGAGAAAAUUGCUUUGAAUUUGCACAAAAUCUGGCAGGCUUGGGAGUUUUGUGGGGGUGUUUCUGUGUUUUGCUUUAUGUUUUUUGUGUUUUUUCAAAAAAUUUUCAAACAUAUGUUAAAAGUACCCAGUGCACUGUCUCCUUCAGAUUAAACCAAUUAUAAUGCCUAUAAAUUAAAUAAAUUUAUUACUAAAAAUAUUGGGAUUUUAUUGACUGUUUCACAGAAUAUUUAAAAGUGAUCUCAAACCAGUCCAACGUGAAUAUGUUCAGCUAUAAACAAGGGUUCACUUGAGAUACAUUCCACUCAUUAUUUACUUGAUUAUAGAGCCUGGUUUGAUGGGAUACAAUCAGUUUUCUUUUCUCAAUGGCCUAUUGAAUGAUGAUAUUAUUCAGAAUUCCAUUUAGAUGAUGCAAAUGACCUAAUCGGCUUGUCUUCUGACACGUGAAUAACUGAACUCAAAUGUCAAAGCAAACUUCAUAAACAAAAUCUCUCUUUUAUGCAACUGAAAUUAUUCUAUGGGAAGCUUAGGAAUAUUAUUUAUGGAAACUGAUUUUUUUUCUCUCACUUAUACAACAUAAGUAUACACAUCCUUACUCAUGUCACAUGCUAGCAUUUCAGGAUUUUGUAUUCUAAGCAAAGAAGAAAGAAAAAAUGCAUAGCCAGUAAGUAAAAUGAUAGUAAAUUAAAAUCACAGCACAGACCUUUUGGUUUGAUUUCUAUAAUAAAAUACACCUUUGUUCAAAACUCGGGCAGUUCUCAAUGAAGAAAAUAUUUCUUUUCUGCUUAUUCAAGUGCUGAUCAUACUUGCUGUCUUUCAAACUAUGAAUUAGCAUGAGUAUAGUAUUAGUAGAAAUAACUACAGCAGCUCACAGUUAUGUGUAUCACACACUGUGAUGUGAAUCACACAGAUACGUCAACAUUAACUUUAAACUGUAUGGCUUGGUAGCAGUUCAAUUUUGACAACAUAAAGAUUCUUGGGAAACAGCUACCUGUUUCUGCUUAUGAAGCCUGUCUGGGUAUCACUUAACUUGCCUUUUUAAGGUACUUUAUCCAAUGUUCAAGGCAUCUAAUGAAAAAUCGACAAAUACAGAUUACACGUCCUGCUUUCAUGUCUUGGUUACAAUGUGGCCUUCCACAAAAUGAUCGCAUAAAGUUGUUAGCAUAGCCUUCUAGAUUGUCUUGGAUACCCAGAGAUGAUUUUCCAAAAGAAAAUAUUUGAAACCACAGUCUGGUCCUUGCUUGCACAUUCGUUUGGUGGCAUCAUGAAAAAAGUCUUGAUAAGUAGUGGUGAAAUGUUGCCAGCUACAUGUUUCAACUAAUUUAUUUCUUUUUCUUAAUGUCAUCCUUAGUUAACCAUGAAUGAAUUAUGUUUUGAAGGAGUUCUUAAGCCGAGGCAGAGCUAAUCAAGGUAUUUCAGCAAGAGCAGUAAGUGAAAGCAGCUAUCAGCGUAAGCAGUGUUUCAUCACAAGUGAUCCCACAGGUUGCCUGUAUUUUAUAUUUUAGGCAGAUUAACUUUUACCAGAGGAGAUAAUGUUCUUUUCAUAAUAAGAUUAUAUUCCUGACAUAUUACAUAUCUUUUUUUUCUAGCUGAAGAUCAAGACUGAAAUGUAGUGAUCUGCAACAGAAAUUAUACUUGAGAUUCGUUGAAGGAUAUCAAGAGAGCUUGGUCCAUUGCAUUUAUAGCAUUGGUGUCAUAGAUAUUUUUCUUCUGUUUUGGAUACUAAACCUACAGACAUCAGUGUAAGAAACAUUACAGACUAUUGUUGAAAGCAUUCACCGUUGGAAAGUCUGUGACUUUGUGUUGCCGUGCUCUCUUACUUCAUGUCAGUGAAUAUGAAGUAAUCUUCCUGUAAGCAAUGCCUGCCAGCAGGGAGAUUCUUAAAGACAUUGUAUGAUCUGCUGUAGCCAUGCAUAUGAAUCUAACUCGAAGAUAGACUUUUCUAAUUUGAAUUCAUAUGCUUUCUUUAGUCAAUGUAAUGAACUGGUUAGGGACAUGUUUUUAAAUUAACUGAAGUCUGAGAUUUUCAAGAAUGAAGAUAACAGCAGUUAAUUAAGAAUAAAUAGUGAAUAUAUACAACUGGAAUAAAAUUUGAAGUAGAAGUUCAGUGACGUCAAAUCUCCAUUUUUCAUACAGUUAUAAAAUUUUAAAUAUUAAAGGGUUAAUAGACUGAUGUUUAAUUUUGCUAUAAAAGCUGUGAAAAAAAAAACAUUAUGAAAAAUAUUUUUUAUACUGUGGUAUUAUUCCAUAGUUUUAGAAGCUAUAUACUAACGUAAACACUGCAUUUAUAUUUGAUCUGCCCAUAUCUUCCAGUUGCCAUUCUUAGUCCAGUUUAUUAACUUCUACUUGUAGUCAGCAGCCAAAGAUCAUGAAACAUAUUUUAUUGUUGUGUAUAUAAAUUUUUAAGCACAUACACAUACAUGAAAUAAUACUUGUUGUCUUUACUACAAAAAACAUUCCAAAGCAUUCAAACUACAA